rnacentral:rRNA from 1 species
UACGAAGGGGGCUAGCGUUGCUCGGAAUUACUGGGCGUAAAGCGCACGUAGGCGGAUUGUUAAGUCGGGGGUGAAAUCCUGGAGCUCAACUCCAGAACUGCCUUCGAUACUGGCGAUCUCGAGUUCGGGAGAGGUGAGUGGAACUGCGAGUGUAGAGGUGAAAUUCGUAGAUAUUCGCAAGAACACCGGUGGCGAAGGCGGGUCUCUGGGCCGUAACUGACGCUGAGGAGCGAAAGCGUGGGGAGCGAACAGG